rnacentral:rRNA from 1 species
CAGCAGCCACGGGAAUACGUAGGGUGCAAGCGUUAUCCGGAUUUAUUGGGUUUAAAGGGUCCGUAGGCGGAUCUGUAAGUCAGUGGUGAAAUCUCACAGCUUAACUGUGAAACUGCCAUUGAUACUGCAGGUCUUGAGUAAAUUUGAAGUGGCUGGAAUAAGUAGUGUAGCGGUGAAAUGCAUAGAUAUUACUUAGAACACCAAUUGCGAAGGCAGGUCACUAAGAUUUAACUGACGCUGAUGGACGAAAGCGUGGGGAGCGAACAGGAUUAGAUACCCCUGUAGUCCCUGUCUCUUAUAC